UGGGGAAUAUUGCACAAUGGUGGGAACUCUGAUGCAGCGACGCUGCGCGAACGAAGAAGGCUUUCGAGUCGUAAAGUUCUUUUAUAUGGGAAGAUAAUGACGGUACCAUAAGAAAAAGCCCCGGCUCACUACGUGCCCGCAGCCGCGGUAAUACGUAGGGGGCUAGCGUUGUCCGGAAUCACUGGGCGUAAAGGGUUCGCAGGCGGAAAAGCAAGUCAGGUGUAAAAGGCAGUAGCUUAACUACUGUAAGCAUUUGAAACUGCAUAUCUUGAGAGGAGUAGAGGUAAGUGGAAUUGUUAGUGUAGCGGUGAAAUGCGUAGAUAUUAAAAAGAAUACCGGUGGCGAAGGCGACUUACUGGGCUCAUUCUGACGCUGAGGAACGAAAGCGUGGGUAGCAAACAGG
rnacentral:rRNA from 1 species